rnacentral:rRNA from 1 species
GUGUCAGCAGCCGCGGUAAAACGUAGGUCCCGAGCGUUGUUCGGAUUCACUGGGUGUAAAGGGCGCGUAGGUGGUUGUCUGUGUCUCAUGUGAAAACUCAGGGCUCAACUCUGAGAUUGCGUGGGAAACUAGGCAGCUAGAGGACGGUAGAGGGGAGUGGAAUUCCCGGUGUAGCGGUAAAAUGCGUAGAUAUCGGGAGGAACACCGGUGGCGAAGGCGGCUCUCUGGGCCGAUCCUGACGCUGAGGCGCGAAAGCUAGGGGAGCGAACCGGAUUAGAUACCCGGGUAGUCCUAGCCGUAAACGAUGGGUGCUAGGUGUUGGGGGGUAAAGACCCUUCAGUGCCGAAGCCAACGCGAUAAGCAUCCCACCUGGGGAGUACGGCCGCAAGGUUGAA